GUUUCAGGGCGGAGUGCAAUUCUCCACCGGUGGUAAUGGGCCUUUGGCCUUAGUCCACGAGCUUUGCCGACUUUGGUGUGAUUCCAAGACCGACGGUAUAGUCCGGAUGAAAGAAA
rnacentral:ncRNA from 1 species